rnacentral:rRNA from 1 species
GCAAUUAUACAGCGAAACUGCGAAUGGCUCAUUAUAUAAGUUAUCGUUUAUUUGAUAGUACCUUACUACUUGGAUAACCGUGGUAAUUCUAGAGCUAAUACAUGCUAAAAAUCCCGACUUCGGAAGGGAUGUAUUUAUUAGAUUAAAAACCAAUGCCCUCUGGGCUCCUUGGUGAUUCAUAAUAACUUUUCGAAUCGCAUGGCCUUGCGCCGGCGAUGGUUCAUUCAAAUUUCUUCCCUAUCAACUUUCGAUGUUUGGGUAUUGGCCAAACAUGGUCGCAACGGGUAACGGAGGGUUAGGGCUCGACCCCGGAGAAGGAGCCUGAGAAACGGCUACUACAUCCAAGGAAGGCAGCAGGCGCGCAAAUUACCCAAUCCCGAUUCGGGGAGGUAGUGACAAUAAAUACUGAUACAGGGCUCUUUUGGGUCUUGUAAUUGGAAUGAGUACAAUUUAAAUCCCUUAACGAGGAACAAUUGGAGGGCAAGUCUGGUGCCAGCAGCCGCGGUAAUUCCAGCUCCAAUAGCGUAUAUUAAAGUUGUUGUGGUUAAAAAGCUCGUAGUUGAACCUUGGGCCUGGCUGGCCGGUCCGCCUCACCGCGUGUACUGGUCCGGCCGGGCCUUUCCCUCUGUGGAACCUCAUGCCCUUCACUGGGUGUGGCGGGGAAACAGGACUUUUACUUUGAAAAAAUUAGAGUGCUCCAGGCAGGCCUAUGCUCGAAUACAUUAGCAUGGAAUAAUAAAAUAGGACGCGUGGUUCUAUUUUGUUGGUUUCUAGGACCGCCGUAAUGAUUAAUAGGGACAGUCGGGGGCAUCAGUAUUCAAUUGUCAGAGGUGAAAUUCUUGGAUUUAUUGAAGACUAACUACUGCGAAAGCAUUUGCCAAGGAUGUUUUCAUUAAUCAGGAACGAAAGUUAGGGGAUCGAAGACGAUCAGAUACCGUCGUAGUCUUAACCAUAAACUAUGCCGACUAGGGAUCGGACGAUGUUAUUUUUUGACGCGUUCGGCACCUUACGAGAAAUCAAAGU